ensembl:lncRNA
CAGGUUAAGAGCAGGAGGUCAGGGAGAAACAGUCAGGUUAAGAGCAGGCAGUCAGGGUGAAACAGUCUGGUUAGGAGCAGGCAGUCAGGUUGAAACAGUCAGGUAGAAACAGUCAGGUUAGGAGCAGGCAGUCAGGGUGAAACAGUCAGUUUAGGAGCAGGCAGUCAGGGAGAAACAGUCAGGUUAGGAGCAGGCAGUCAGGGUGAAACAGUCUGGUUAGGAGCAGGCAGUCAGUGUGAAACAGUCAGGUUAGGAGCAGGCAGUCAGUGAGAAACAGUCAGGUUAGGAGCAGGCAGUCAGUGAUAAAUAGUCAGGUUAGGAGCAGGCAGUCAGGGAGAAACAGUCUGGUUAGGAGCAGGCAGUCAGUGAGAAACAGUCAGGUUAGGAGCAGGCAGUCAGUGAUAAACAGUCAGGUUAGGAGCAGGCAGUCAGGGAGAAACAGUCAGGUAGAAACAGUCAGGUAGAAACAGCC